rnacentral:rRNA from 1 species
UACGUAGGGUCCGAGCGUUGUCCGGAAUCACUGGGCGUAAAGAGCUCGUAGGCGGUUUGUCGCGUUGUCCGUGAAAACUCACAGCUCAACUGUGGGCGUGCGGGCGAUACGGGCAGACUGGAGUACUGCAGGGGAGACUGGAAUUCCUGGUGUAGCGGUGGAAUGCGCAGAUAUCAGGAGGAACACCGGUGGCGAAGGCGGGUCUCUGGGCAGUAACUGACGCUGAGGAGCGAAAGCGUGGGGAGCGAACAGG